rfam:Fictibacillus phosphorivorans strain G25-29, complete genome.
CUCUUAUUUCGAGCAGGCGGAGGGAAUUAGCCCUAUGAAGCCCGGCAACCACCUAUUUUGUUAGGCACGGUGCUACAUCUAACAGUUUUACAGACUGAAAGAUAAGAG